CCUAUGGGGAAGGUCGUGAUGCCAUUAAAUUCUGGCCUCUAGGGAACUCGGUAUCGAUCUCAUAUCCAUCACUGGCCUAUGGAGAAGUUGGUGAAGCUAUUGUAUCCAGGCCUAUAGGAACCUAAUGAUCAAUUUCAUAUAUAUAUAUUGAUAGUCCACAACAAAGGUGGUGAUACAAUUGUGCCGAGGCCUCUAGGAAUCUUAGGAUGGAUUUCAUAUGCAUGUGUAGCUCAUAGCGAAGGUGAUGGCACCAUUGGUCUGAGCCUCUAGGAAUCUUGUGAUCGAUUUCUUUUCC
rnacentral:lncRNA from 1 species